rnacentral:lncRNA from 1 species
GAUCAGACUGCAGUCCAACAGUGCCUCAGUGGGGACAAACGCCUCUGCCAGCUCCAAGGGAACUUUAGAGAUUCCCCAUGCAGCAACUCAACUGACCCAGCCGGAGCCAGGUGUCUCCAGGAGAACUGUUGCCAAGGAUGCAAGGUUAUUAAACACAAACUUGGUAUCCAGGAAACGCUCCAAGGUAAAGGAUGAUCUGAAGAAAACAGGCUUUGGAGAUAAAAACCCUAUAUGUGGCCCAGUGGUGACAUCUGCUAAGAGGCAAUGCCCAGAGGCCAAGCAGAGGGUUAUCAUGGGAACAGUGAACUAGGGCCGUCACCCUACUAAUACUCAUCCUACAUAAAGGAAGGAUUUUGAGAGUAUUACCGAGUAAGAAGUUACACAUGAUAAGAUUUCUGUCGUCCUCUGCUGUAGAGCCAGACAUCUGCUCGAAGCAUCAAUACCAAUGCUUCACAUCACCAAAACUCGUCACUAACCACCAUGUGCUUCUUCUUUUUAAAGGCCACUUGCCUGAAAAAGAUUUCAGUGCAUGGAACGGAUAUCGUUGGUCAUAACUCAGAUUCGUCGUGUUUGCUUCUGUUUUGUUGCUGUUGUUUUGUUUUUGGUUUUUUUAACGUUGAUGAAUGCACUAUUUUACCACUGUAAAUUUACCUCAUAGUUCCUUUGUUUUGGGUAAAGUACAACCACAAAGCAAAUUAAAAUUUUCUCAUUGUC